UUGACCUACGGGGGGCAGCAGUGGGGGAUAUUGCACAAUGGGGGGAACCCUGAUGCAGCGACGCCGCGUGGGUGAAGGAGCGUUUCGGCGCGUAAAGCCCUAUCGGCAGGGAAGAAGGAGGACGGUACCUGACUAAGAAGCCCCGGCUAACUACGUGCCAGCAGCCGCGGUAAUACGGAGGAUGCGAGCGUUAUCCGGAUUUAUUGGGUUUAAAGGGUGCGCAGGCGGGCUGUUAAGCCGGCGGUAAAAAUUCAGGGCUCAACCCUGUCGCGCCGUCGGGAUUG
rnacentral:rRNA from 1 species